GGCCUUGGUAGCGCAGCUAACGCGUGAAGUUGACCGCCUGGGGAGUACGGUCGCAAGAUUAAAACUCAAAGGAAUUGACGGGGACCCGCACAAGCGGUGGAUGAUGUGGAUUAAUUCGAUGCAACGCGAAAAACCUUACCUACCCUUGACAUGUCUGGAAUGCCGAAGAGAUUUGGCAGUGCUCGCAAGAGAACCGGAACACAGGUGCUGCAUGGCUGUCGUCAGCUCGUGUCGUGAGAUGUUGGGUUAAGUCCCGCAACGAGCGCAACCCUUGUCAUUAGUUGCUACGAAAGGGCACUCUAAUGAGACUGCCGGUGACAAACCGGAGGAAGGUGGGGAUGACGUCAAGUCCUCAUGGCCCUUAUGGGUAGGGCUUCACACGUCAUACAAUGGUCGGGACAGAGGGUCGCCAACCCGCGAGGGGGAGCCAAUCCCAGAAACCCGAUCGUAGUCCGGAUCGCAGUCUGCAACUCGACUGCGUGAAGUCGGAAUCGCUAGUAAUCGCGGAUCAGCAUGUCGCGGUGAAUACGUUCCCGGGUCUUGUACACACCGCCCGUCACACCAUGGGAGUGGGUUUUACCAGAAGUAGUUAGCCUAACCGCAAGGGGGGCGAUUACCACGGUAGGAUUCAUGACUGGGGUGAAGUCGA
rnacentral:rRNA from 1 species